rnacentral:tRNA from 1 species
GACCGCGUAGCUCAGUUGGUAGAGCAUUGGGCUAGUAUUCCAAAGGUCGUAGGUUCGACUCCCACCGUGGUCA